CCGGGCCGCCCCGGAGCGAGCGCGGCAGGGAGGAGCGCGCGGCGGGACGAGGGCACCCCGGGGCCGGCGCCACUCCCGCUGAGCCGCGGCCACCUUCCGGCGGACCCUCAGGACUCUGCGCGCCGCGCCGCAGAUUUCUGCUUGGCAGAUUAGCCAAAAGCAAUAGAGGCUACUCUGUCUGCAUUCUGCGUGCUGCUCUCCGUGAGACCCCACGACAGACCCCAGGCCCACAUCCACUGGGCUUCCAGACCCCCACCCAGCCCCAGACAUUGCUCUGGGGUCUGCCUGAGGCCUGCAGUGUGAAGAUGCCCAGCACCUUCCUAGCAUGACGACCCUGGACCAUGUGAUCGCCACCCACCAGUCCGAGUGGGUCUCCUUCAAUGAGGAGCCACUCUUUCCCGUCCCUUCUGAGGGGGGCCCCAAAGAGCACCUCCCAGGAGCGUCCUCUUCCUCAGACCAGUCAGAGAGCUCCUCCGGGGAGCACCAUGCCUUGGAUGGAGGCUCUCAGGACCUUUCCCACUCAGAGCAUGAUGACUCUUCUGAAAAGCUGGGCCUCAUCUCUGAAGCAGCCUCCCCUCCCGGGAGCCCCGAGCAGCGCCCACCUGACCUGGUCUCAGCCAUCAGCGGCUGGGUUCAGUUUGAAGAUGAUGCACCCUGGGCCAGCUCAUCACCACCUCCUAAAGAAGCAGGGGGGACAGACAAUUCCUCAUCUCUUCAGGAGGAUGAAGAGGUAGAGAUGGAGGCCAUCAGCUGGCAGGCCGGCAGCCCGGCCAUGAAUGGGCACCCCACCACGCCAGUGACCUCUGCGCGUUUCCCCAGCUGGGUCACUUUUGAUGACAAUGAAGUCAGUGGCCCUUUGUCCCCCAUCACGUCUCCUCUGAAGCCAGAAACACUGCCUCUCACCUCUGUGAUCCCAGACGGACCUUGCAACUCAACAGGGUCAUUUAAGAAGCGGGAACGGCCCAGGAGCACUUUGAUGAACUUCUCCAAAGUUCAGAAGCUAGACGUGUCCUCCGUAAGCCAUCCGCCUGCCGUGCCCGAGGCUCCACCUUGGAGGGCCACCAAUCCUUUUCUGAAUGAGACGCUACAGGAUGUACAGCCCUCCCCCAUCAACCCUUUCCGGGCUUUCUUUGAGGAGCAGGAGAGGCGAGCCCAGAACAGUUCUGUGUCCGGUACCCCAGGCAAGAGCCAGAGAGAUUCCCUCAUCGUCGUCUACCAGGACGCCAUCAGUUUUGAUGACUCGAGCCGAAACCAGUCACACUCGGAUGCUGUGGAAAAACUCAAGCGGCUCCAAAUCGAGGAUUCCGACCACUUUGGGGGUGGGACACUCCCUGAUGAUGACCCAGCCGCCUGGGCUGAACUGGAUGCCCACCCGGCAGGCUCUGAGCAGUCCCCACCCAGGGACGGCUGGCCCAUGAUGCUUAGGAUCCCUGAGAAGAAGAACAUCAUGUCGUCCAGGCACUGGGGACCCAUCUACGUCAAACUGACGGACGGUGGGUACCUGCAGCUCUAUUACGAGCAGGGCCUGGAGAGGCCGUUCCGUGAGUUCAAGCUGGAGAUGUGCCAUGAGAUUUCCGAACCCCGGCUCCAAAACUACGACGAGAAUGGUAGGAUCCACAGCUUGCGGAUAGACCGCGUCACCUACAAGGAGAAGAAGAAGUACCAGCCUAAACCCGCCGUGGCCCACUUGGCCGAGAGGGAGCAGGUCAUCAAGCUGGGCACCACCAACUACGAGGACUUCCUGAGCUUCAUCCGUGCGGUUCAGGACCGCCUCAUGGAGCUGCCGGUGUUGUCAACGGAGCUGAGCACGGUCGGCCUGAACUACCUGGAAGAGGAAAUGACGGUGGAUGUCCAAGAUGAAUUCUCCGGCCUCGUGAGCAAGGGAAACAACCAGAUCCUCCAGCACAGUGUCCUGACGCGGAUCCACGUGCUGAGCUUCCUCUCGGGCCUGGCCGAGUGCCGGCUGGGCCUCAACGACGUCCUGGUCAAAGGGAACGAGGUGGUGUCCCGCCAGGACAUCGUGCCCACCACCACCGCUAAGUGGAUCCGGCUCCACGAGUGCCGCUUUCACGGCUGCGUGGAUGAGGACGUGUUCCGCGGCUCGCGCGUCAUCCUCUUCAACCCUCUAGAUGCCUGCCGCUUCGAGCUCAUGCGGUUCCGGACAGUGUUCGCCGAGAAGACCUUGCCCUUCACGCUCAGGACGGCGGCGAGCAUCCACGGGGCGGAGGUGGAGGUGCAGAGCUGGCUGAGGAUGUCGGCGGGCUUCUCCUCCAACUGGGACCCCCUCACCCAGGUCCCCUGCGAGAACGUGAUGGUCCGCUACCCCGUGCCCAGCGAGUGGGUGAAAAACUUCCGCAGGGAAAGUGUCCUGGGAGAGAAGUCUCUGAAAGCCAAAGUGAACCGGGGGGCAAGUUUUGGCUCAGCCAGCGUCUCCGGCUCUGAGCCGGUCAUGAGAGUCACCCUGGGGACUGCCAAGUACGAGCAUGCCUUCAAUGCCAUCGUGUGGAGGAUAAACCGACUGCCUGACAAAAACUCAGCUUCUGGUCACCCACACUGUUUCUUCUGCCACCUUGAACUUGGCUCGGACCGGGAAGUGCCUUCCAGAUUUGCCAAUCACGUGAACGUCGAGUUCAGCAUGCCUACAACGUCUGCCUCCAAAGCUGCUGUGAGAUCCAUCUCUGUGGAAGACAAGACUGACGUCAGGAAGUGGGUCAAUUAUUCUGCACACUACAGCUACAAGGUGGAAAUUGAGCAAAAAAAGAGUUUGAAGCUGGACUUGGACGGAGACAACAUGGAAAAUCCCAAGGAGUGCGGGGUCCAGUGAUGAGGCUGUCUUGCAGGGGUUCCUGACCCAAGUGGCACAAUAGGAUGUCUUCCUGAAUAGCUGAAAUUCAA
rnacentral:lncRNA from 1 species